ACAUUCGAUUAGGUAGUUGGAAGGGUAGAAGCCUCCCAAGCCGACGAUCGAUAGUCAGGUUUGACAGAACAGAUGACCACAUUGGGAAUGAAAUAUCCCAAGUAGCAUUAAGCUACCAGCAGUCAAGAAUAUUAGUCAAUGCUCGCAAGAGUGAACUAGCUAACUGAAAUCAAAGGUGUGUCACUUUUGAUAAGGUAAAGGAAAAUAAAUGAUACUACUUUACUAUUAGUGUCGUCCAAGUACUCGUGCCAGAAGACUCGGUAAGGCGAGAGACGCAAACGUUAGUCGUCUUGAUCAGGCGUAAAGGGUUUGUAGGCGGCUUUAAGAAUGGAUUCCUUCUAAAUAACACUACUUUAUUUUUAAAGUAACGACAUCGGAAGGGAAAAAUCAAUUAAAGCUAGAAUCAAAUAGAGGUCAAAUUAAAUAAUACUUGGUGUAAGAUUGGUAUCUUUAAAAACCAAGCGGAAUACUAACGGCGAAGGCUUUUUUCCAUUAAUGAUUGACGCUGAGAAACUAAGGUGAGGACAGAAAAAAGGAUUAGAGACCCUCGUAUUCCUCACUGUCAACGAUGAAUGGUAGUUACUAGUUAUAAUUAUUAAAAAAAAAUAAAAAACAAAACUAGAGACGAUGUUAACACGUAAACCAUUCCGCCUUGUGAGUACGACUGCAAAGUUGAAAACAAAAAAAUUAGUCGGUUUCGGAGCAAACGAAGUGAAGCAUGUUAUUUAAUACGAUACCCCGCGUAAAAUCUUACCAGUCCUUGCAUAAAACUUUUUUUAUAAAAUAUUGUUUUAUAGCAGAUUUUUCUAUGGUUUAGUUACUAUAGCUUAAAUUGAAUUAUUUUAUAAUUC
rnacentral:rRNA from 1 species